rnacentral:sRNA from 10 species
AUAUAAUAAUUCCGUCAUGCAAAUAAGCAGCGAGGCUGCUUGCAGACGGAGCUGCUUAUUUAUAUGACGGAUAAACAGACAUAAGCAUGAAGGACGAUAGUCCGGAAUGCGCAUGGCUGUUACGAUUUCGGGAGUUCGAAGAACGGAGAAAUCGUGAUUAUUAUAU